CGGAGGCAGCAGUAAGGAAUUUUGGGCAAUGGGCGAAAGCCUGACCCAGCAACGCCGCGUGAAGGAUGAAGUAUUUCGGUAUGUAAACUUCGAAAGAAUGGGAAGAACUCAAUGACGGUACCAUUUAUAAGCUCCGGCUAACUACGUGCCAGCAGCCGCGGUAAUACGUAGGGAGCAAGCGUUGUUCGGAUUUACUGGGCGUAAAGGGCGCGUAGGCGGCAAAUUAAGUCAGCUGUGAAAUCUCCGAGCUUAACUCGGAACUGUCAGCUGAUACUGAUCUGCUAGAGUGCGGAAGGGGCAAUCGGAAUUCUUGGUGUAGCGGUGAAAUGCGUAGAUAUCAAGAGGAACACCUGAGGUGAAGACGGGUUGCUGGGCCGACACUGACGCUGAGUGCGCGAAAGCCAGGGGAGCAAACGGGAUUAGAUACCCCGGUAGG
rnacentral:rRNA from 1 species